rnacentral:rRNA from 1 species
UACGUAGGGGGCUAGCGUUGUCCGGAAUCAUUGGGCGUAAAGCGCGUGUAGGCGGUCCGGUAAGUCCGCUGUGAAAGUCGGGGGCUCAACCCUCGAAUGCCGGUGGAUACUGUCGGGCUAGAGUGCGGAAGAGGCGAGUGGAAUCCUGGUGUAGCGGUGAAAUGCGCAGAUAUCAGGAGGAACACCGAUGGCGAAGGCAGGUCUCUGGGCAUUAACUGACGCUGAGGAGCGAAAGCAUGGGGAGCGAACAGG